ACUGCUCAGUAACACGUGGAUAACCUGCCUUUGGGUCCGGCAUAACUCCGGGAAACUGGAGAUAAUUCCGGAUAACGCACAUAUGCUGGAAUGCUUUAUGCGUAAAAUGGAUUCGUCUGCCCAAGGAUGGGUCUGCGGCCUAUCAGGUAGUAGUGGGUGUAAUGUACCUACUAGCCAACAACGGGUACGGGUUGUGAGAGCAAGAGCCCGGAGAUGGAUUCUGAGACAUGAAUCCAGGCCCUACGGGGCGCAGCAGGCGCGAAAACUUUACAAUGCGGGAAACCGUGAUAAGGGGACACCGAGUGCUAGCAUCAUAUGCUGGCUGUCCAGGUGUGUAAAAUACACCUGUUAGCAAGGGCCGGGCAAGACCGGUGCCAGCCGCCGCGGUAACACCGGCGGCCCGAGUGGUGAUCGUGAUUAUUGGGUCUAAAGGGUCCGUAGCCGGUUUGGUCAGUCCUCCGGGAAAUCUGAUAGCUCAACUAUUAGGCUUUCGGGGGAUACUGCCAGGCUUGGAACCGGGAGAGGUAAGAGGUACUACAGGGGUAGGAGUGAAAUCUUGUAAUCCCUGUGGGACCACCUGUGGCGAAGGCGUCUUACCAGAACGGGUUCGACGGUGAGGGACGAAAGCUGGGGGCACGAACCGGAUUAGAUACCCGGGUAGUCCCAGCCGUAAACGAUGCUCGCUAGGUGUCAGGCAUGGCGCGACCGUGUCUGGUGCCGCAGGGAAGCCGUGAAGCGAGCCACCUGGGAAGUACGGCCGCAAGGCUGAAACUUAAAGGAAUUGGCGGGGGAGCA
rnacentral:rRNA from 1 species